GGUGAGGUGGCCGAGUGGUCGAAGGCGCACGCCUGGAAAGUGUGUAGGCUAGCAAUAGUCUCCAGGGUUCGAAUCCCUGUCUCACCGCCA
rnacentral:tRNA from 24 species